AUGUUGUUGAACAACAGAUUAUGAUGAAGAACGUAGCAUUGGGAUAUGCAUGUUGGGUGGAAUGGCCUUGAUUCAUGAUGAAAGUCAGGCCCUUGAUUGAGUGGAAUGGCCAUGGGAUAAGGCUUAGAUGACGACGACGACAAUGAUGACUUUUGCUGCUAUUGGAUUUUCUACUUGAAGUUCUGAAUAUAUGAGUUUGCACUUCUAUUCUUCAUAUGCUCAGUUGGUUUUCUGUGGGCUUCUAUCCUUCAAUCGUUCAGCUUAUGGGAGUGAAUUUGGUGGUGCUAUGCUUGUCAUGAGCAGUGGGGUUUUGCUGGUCAGUUUCAUAUCAAAUUCCAUGGUUUUAAGCUGUAGUGCAGAAUUGCAGGCCAGUAACAGCGCCAAGCAUCUGUUGUGAUUUUGAUUGAUUCAUAGAGUUUGGUUGUUAUCAUCAAAUGGAAUGGCCCCAUGUGCUAUUUGUAUGGGCUGCUCAGAUGUCGGACACCCUUUCAGUGAUUCAUGCGCUGCAGCAUCUUUUUGUUUUUGAAUUGAUGCAGUUGGAGCCGGUUUCUUUCUUACUUCUUCUUACUUGGUUUCUUUCUUUUCUUGUCUUCUUUUUUUAUUAGCUGAGUGCAGAUGAUGUCCAAUGUUAAUGGUCAAUCUAUGCAUUAGUGGCUAGCUGUUGCCAUCUGCUCGGGAUAGUUUAUUUUACAGCAGAUUCAUUGAUGGAGACUAGGUGCAGGCCAGUGGCAGCUUGAUUUUUCUCCAAUUUUCUGUGCAUUCGUGGCCUUCUGAUGUUGGUAUAGUGAUGUCUUAGAUAUGGGCAAUUCAUCUAACUUUUGAGUAGUUAAAAGUAGCCCACUUGUUUAUGCAUUGUCAAUUUGCAAACUUCAUGUGAGAAGCUUUUCCGAUCUCCUUG